rnacentral:lncRNA from 1 species
GUGGGCAGCGUGCGCUAAGCCGGCGGGGAAGAAAAUCACAGGAGGCAGCUGAGGCGCGGCGUUCGCGGGGCCUGCCGCAGCGCCGGUUCUGCCGAGGAGCCGGCAUGAUCCGUCUGGAGGUGAGCGGCGCAGGAGCCUGCUCCGGCCUGCUGCACCUGACUCCCGACCGCACCGCCAGGUGGCAGGUCGUGCUCCGUCUCUUGCGCUGCGCUCGGCUGGCGCCGCUGGUGGAGGCGCUGCUUCAAUUGGCCGAGAAACACUGCAGAGAACUAUCCGAUUACGAGACAUCUCCGCACCACACCCAGCCAAAGCCGCUGACCAAUCAGAGCCAGUCAAGCUCUGAUGAGGCGUCGUCAGGAACCAAUGGGGCGCCGUCUCACCGUGACGUGGCCGCCAGUAGGAGGGGCCUGACGACGGCCGCCGACGUCAGAGCAGACCUGCAAU